UGGGCUUGACAUGUGAGUGCCCCGAAGGGAAGCCGUGUUUCCACGGCGGUCACUCACAUGUCAAGCCCAGGUAAGGUUCUUCGCGUUGAGUCGAAUUAAACCACAUGCUCCGCUGCUUGUGCGGGCCCCCGUCAAUUCCUUUGAGUUUUAGCCUUGCGGCCGUACUCCCCAGGCGGGGAACUUAAUGCGUUAGCUUCGGCACGGAUGGAGUCGACACCACCCACACCUAGUUCCCAUCGUUUACGGCGUGGACUAC
rnacentral:misc_RNA from 1 species